rnacentral:rRNA from 1 species
UUCCACAAUGGGCGAAAGCCUGAUGGAGUAACGCCGCGUGGGUGAAGAAGGUCUUCGGAUCGNAAAACCCUGUUGUUAGAGAAGANNGUNNNUNAGAGUAACUGUUCACGUUUCGACGGUAUCUAACCAGNNNGNCNCGGCUAACUACGUGCCAGCAGCCGCGGUAAUACGUAGGUGGCAAGCGUUAUCCGGAUUUAUUGGGCGUAAAGGGAACGCAGGCGGUCUUUUAAGUCUGAUGUGAAAGCCUUCGGCUUAACCGGAGUAGUGCAUUGGAAACUGGGAGACUUGAGUGCAGAAGAGGAGAGUGGAACUCCAUGUGUAGCGGUGAAAUGCGUAGAUAUAUGGAAGAACACCAGUGGCGAAAGCGGCUCUCUGGUCUGUAACUGACGCUGAGGUUCGAAAGCGUGGGUAGCAAACAGG